ACUCGAUAUGAAACUUUUGGCUAUCUUUUGUUCAAAGAGAAAAAGAAAAAAAAAAAACUUUGGCUAUCUCCUCUCUCUUCUUUCUCUCUGAAACGCAGCCCCUUUCUCUCUGUCUCUCACCCAGCCGCUCAAUCUCUGUCUCGCGUCUCGCUGUGUCGAUCCUCCAGCUCUGUCUCGUUUCCUCCUCUUAUACUUUCACAUCUUCCAUCGUUGUAUCGAUUUCGUUCCCUCACUCUAAAUCCUCAAUCUCUGUCUUGAUAUAUCAAUCUCAGUCUCGUUCCUCUAUCAAUCUCUUUAUUUUUACCUUUCAAUCUCUGUGUUGUUCUUUGGUCUAUGUCUCGUUCUCCCACUCUCAAUCUCGUUCCCUCUUCUUAAUCGUCCUCAUCUUCAUCGGUGUAAAUCAAAUUGUUGUUGUCGAAUUUGACAUAUAAGGAAGAGGCAGGGAACAUCCACUCAAAGUUGAUUUUCGCACAAAGGAGAACUAUCAGAUGCUUUUAUUUCCAAUUGAAAUAGAGCCAAGUAAAUAUUGGCUUAAUAGAACUAGUCACGAGCUGCAAAACUACUCCUUGGAGUGGUGUUCUGUUGAAGCCAUAGCCAGCGACGGUAUGACACCAUUGCACCUUACUGUAUGGUACUCAAUUACUUCGAAAGGAGAUCAAAAAUAUGUUGCCUUUAAGCAGGUUGUAGAGCAACAAUUAUGGGAAGGAAGAAAAAACCAAUCAACUUAUUCCAUCAUCUUCUCGCCUAACUCUACUCUCUAUAAUCACAAUUGCAACAUCUCAAGUAUUAUGAGUCCCUAAAAAAUAGUGCUAAAAGUCUAACCUACCCGAGCCACUACAUUGUAUUCUUAUGUGAUCAUCAGAUUUUUGGGGGAAUAAAUUAUAGUUUGCAUGUGUAUAUUGAUCGGAGAUUCUUGAGAUCGAGAAUCAGUAAAAUAAGCUUUAGUAUAAAGUUUUCAUUGUGUAAGUCUCUGUCACAUGUACUCUUAUCAUCUGUAUAAAUAAAAUAUUUCCAACAA